CGAGUGGCGACGGGUGAGUAAUAUAUCGGAACGUGCCCAUUAGUGGGGGAUAGCCCGGCGAAAGCCGGAUUAAUACCGCAUACGACCUGAGGGUGAAAGCGGGGGAUCGCAAGACCUCGCGCUAUUGGAGCGGCCGAUAUCAGAUUAGCUAGUUGGUGGGGUAAAAGCCUACCAAGGCAACGAUCUGUAGUUGGUCUGAGAGGACGACCAGCCACACUGGGACUGAGACACGGCCCAGACUCCUACGGGAGGCAGCAGUGGGGAAUUUUGGACAAUGGGCGCAAGCCUGAUCCAGCAAUGCCGCGUGCAGGAAGAAGGCCUUCGGGUUGUAAACUGCUUUUGUCAGGGGAGAAAUCCUUUGGGUUAAUACCUCGAAGGGAUGACGGUACCUGAAGAAUAAGCACCGGCUAACUACGUGCCAGCAGCCGCGGUAAUACGUAGGGUGCGAGCGUUAAUCGGAAUUACUGGGCGUAAAGCGUGCGCAGGCGGCUUUGCAAGACAGAGGUGAAAUCCCCGGGCUCAACCUGGGAACUGCCUUUGUGACUGCAAGGCUAGAGUACGGCAGAGGGGGAUGGAAUUCCGCGUGUAGCAGUGAAAUGCGUAGAUAUGCGGAGGAACACCGAUGGCGAAGGCAAUCCCCUGGGCCUGUACUGACGCUCAUGCACGAAAGCGUGGGGAGCAAACAGGAUUAGAUACCCUG
rnacentral:rRNA from 1 species